ACGCUAGCGGGAGGCCUAACACAUGCAAGCCGAGCGGUAGAAGAUCUUCGGAUCUUUGAGAGCGGCGUACGGGUGCGGAACACGUGUGCAACCUGCCUUUAUCAGGGAGAUAGCCUUUCGAAAGGAAGAUUAAUAUCCCAUAAUAUUUUGAGUGGCAUCACUUAAAAUUGAAAGCUCCGGCGGAUAGAGAUGGGCACGCGCAAGAUUAGAUAGUUGGCGGGGUAACGGCCCACCAAGUCAAUGAUCUUUAGGGGGCCUGAGAGGGUGAUCCCCCACACUGGUACUGAGACACGGACCAGACUCCUACGGGAGGCAGCAGUGAGGAAUAUUGGACAAUGGGUGAGAGCCUGAUCCAGCCAUCCCGCGUGAAGGACGACGGCCCUAUGGGUUGUAAACUUCUUUUGUAUAGGGAUAAACCUACCCUCGUGGGGGUAGCUGAAGGUACUAUACGAAUAGGCACCGGCUAACUCCGUCCCAGCAGCCGCGGUAAUACGGAGGGUGCAAGCGUUAUCCGGAUUUAUUGGGUUUAAAGGGUCCGUAGCGGACUCGUAAGUCAGUGGUGAAAUCUCAUAGCUUAACUAUGAAACUGCCAUUGAUACUGCGGGUCUUGAGUAAGGUAGAGGUAGCUGGAAUAAGUAGUGUAGCGGUGAAA
rnacentral:rRNA from 1 species